rnacentral:rRNA from 1 species
UUGUGGGAGUAUAAAAAAAGUAACAAGGUUUCCGUAGGUUGCGGAAGGAUCAUUA